CAGACUCUACAGUGUACUUCCUCCACUGCUCAGGAACCCUGCCCUCCCAAACCUCCAAGGGCUCAUGAACUAAAAUUGCAGGUGAAGAAUAUCCGAGUUUCCCUGCUAAACCACCCUGGUGCUUCAGGCAUUAGCCAUAUGUGUGUGGCCCAGCUGAACGAGCCUGCACAGCGAUUCAUCAGCACCCUAGUGAGAAACACUACUGACCUCAGCUGGGAGGAGGAGUUCACCUUGUGAGUACAGCCUUGCAUCCUCAGAGGCCUGGUAGUGACAAGAUGGACAGAUCCUGGAGCCACUGUGUAGCACUGUUUAUACUAAAAAUUAUUAAAGAAAUGAAAAC
rnacentral:lncRNA from 1 species